rnacentral:misc_RNA from 1 species
AUUAGGUUUGAUGUAGGCCUCAGAUGGGCAUUAUGAGUUGUUGUGGGCCUGAGGCCAAUUUGGGUUAUUGUUGAUGCUGUAUGUUGAGUUUAAUUACAGGGGGUCAGGUCUAGUUAUAGAGGAGAUUCUGUCAAAAUUUUGGCAAUAACCUAGGAUUAAUUUCUUUACUUCUUUAGUUUAAAAUUUAUUUAUUUUUAGUCAAUUGAUAGAGGUUAGUGUAUCUAUAUAGGUAAUCGGUG